CCUUUCAAUAAUCACAGAUCAUUUUUACGUUUUCUUGAGUGGAUUUUGGUUAAAGGAAUAUUCCAAGCACCACAGACACUACAGCUUAGUUUAGUGUAAACGUGUUGGGAAAGUGUCCCUGUAAUCUUAAAGGGACACUAUUGUCACCGGAACAACAGCAACUUAUUGUAUUUGUUCUGGUGUGUGUAGUGUGUCACUGCAGGCUUUUUGUUGUAAUCACUGACUUUUCAGAGAAAAG